GACGAACGCUGGCGGCGUGCCUAAUACAUGCAAGUCGAGCGGACCGACGGGAGCUUGCUCCCUUAGGUUAGCGGCGGACGGGUGAGUAACACGUGGGUAACCUGCCUGUAAGACUGGGAUAACUCCGGGAAACCGGGGCUAAUACCGGAUGCUUGAUUGAACCGCAUGGUUCAAUUAUAAAAGGUGGCUUUUAGCUACCACUUACAGAUGGACCCGCGGCGCAUUAGCUAGUUGGUGAGGUAACGGCUCACCAAGGCAACGAUGCGUAGCCGACCUGAGAGGGUGAUCGGCCACACUGGGACUGAGACACGGCCCAGACUCCUACGGGAGGCAGCAGUAGGGAAUCUUCCGCAAUGGACGAAAGUCUGACGGAGCAACGCCGCGUGAGUGACGAAGGCCUUCGGGUCGUAAAGCUCUGUUGUUAGGGAAGAACAAGUACCGUUCGAAUAGGGCGGUACCUUGACGGUACCUAACCAGAAAGCCACGGCUAACUACGUGCCAGCAGCCGCGGUAAUACGUAGGUGGCAAGCGUUGUCCGGAAUUAUUGGGCGUAAAGCGCGCGCAGGCGGUUUCUUAAGUCUGAUGUGAAAGCCCCCGGCUCAACCGGGGAGGGUCAUUGGAAACUGGGGAACUUGAGUGCAGAAGAGGAGAGUGGAAUUCCACGUGUAGCGGUGAAAUGCGUAGAGAUGUGGAGGAACACCAGUGGCGAAGGCGACUCUCUGGUCUGUAACUGACGCUGAGGCGCGAAAGCGUGGGGAGCGAACAGGAUUAGAUACCCUGGUAGUCCACGCCGUAAACGAUGAGUGCUAAGUGUUAGAGGGUUUCCGCCCUUUAGUGCUGCAGCAAACGCAUUAAGCACUCCGCCUGGGGAGUACGGUCGCAAGACUGAAACUCAAAGGAAUUGACGGGGGCCCGCACAAGCGGUGGAGCAUGUGG
rnacentral:rRNA from 1 species